UCGACGAGACCGAAUAAAAGGCUCCCCUCGAUUCACUCGCCCAAAACUUCAGCUUCAACCCCCCCUCCAGUCAACUUACUCGGUCGCUUUGUCGUCCGCUCGUCGCCGAUGGUCGACCAAGGAAUGUUUAAUGUGCGGUUAACCUGGAUUAAUCGUUGCUUUUUUUGAAAUCCAGGGGAUAUCCUCCUUUUUUCGGCCCUCCCCGCUGCCGCGUCUGUUGCCAAAUAAUGCGCCUCAACACACAUGGAGCCGCUGCGUCCUCUUAGUGGGCAUGCGCACCUCGGCAUACCAGGGCGACCGGAUCACAUCAUGUAAGCCGUUGACCACCAAGGGCCAAGGCCAUGUCUGCAGAGCAUCCCAGCAUACUGCACAAGAAGUCACCAUAAACACUGAAGUGUGAAGCGGGGGACCGCCACUCUCUAACAGGAGGCCUAAUGGCGGCCAGCAGCAACUACAUGACAGCGUCAACUUAAUCCUCAUUAAGCAGUAACAAUGCAGGAAGUGGCUGCUGCAGUCACGAUCAGGCCGGGCUCACUAUUUGGCAGGAAACGACUCCUCUCAGCUGCGUCCAAGAAAAAACCUCCAAGCAGUCCCAGAAGUUGAAACUCACGACGAAGACGAGACUCCACCU